rnacentral:rRNA from 1 species
UACGUAGGUGGCAAGCGUUAUCCGGAUUUAUUGGGCGUAAAGCGUGCGCAGGCGGCUUGUUAAGUCUAAGAUUAAAGCCCGGAGCUCAACUCCGGUUCGUUUUAGAUACUGGCAGGCUUGAGUAUGGUAGAGGCAAAUGGAAUUCCUAGUGUAGCGGUGGAAUGCGUAGAUAUUAGGAGGAACACCAGUGGCGAAGGCGGUUUGCUGGGCCAUCACUGACGCUCAUGCACGAAAGCGUGGGGAGCAAAUAGG